GUUUGUUUUGGCGCAAUGCGGAAGUGUCGUCUUGAUGCAGUUUUUUGGCUAAAAAGUUGACGAAUUCUUCGUCUCACAACGUCUGUCAUUUGUUUAACGUUUGCCAUCAGUUUUAGGCAGUAACUGUUAGCUGUCGAGAGUACCGGAACAGACUGUGAAGUAUUUCUAUAGAUCUAAAUAUGGUUCGUAAAAAAGGACAUUUUGUCUGGCAUUCGGAAUUCCUACACUAGUGAUCCAUGAGGACUUUAUCCAGUUUCCAGAAUGGCAGGAAGGAAGGACUUAUUGAAUUGGACCACUUGACAAGGCAGCUUACAAAAGUCAGAAAUUUAAAAGCAGCCGCUGGGCGACAGUAAAUUAAAGCUUGUCUACAUUUUCCAUAAAAUUUCCAAAAUAAAUACUGGAAAAAAAACAACAUGGAAAUACAUACGACAUCAACACAAAAUAGCACAGCAUCAGAAUGAAUGCGGAAGUUGUCAUUAGUGGUGUGGCAUUGUUCCUGUUCAUUUAUGGUUUACAGAUUCCAAAAGUCUGAACCAGAUAUGAGUAGAGUACAGUUUGAGAAAUGUCUUGGUAGAACAGAUACUAAGGAAAUAAUAAAGAGCAGAACAGACCACAUUUCUCCUUCUUAUAACUGGUAAAGUUCGAAGUAAGGGUGAGUACAAUAAUGCAGCCCCAGUGAGAGUUCGUGAUGAGGUGUCAACUGUAAAUGUGUGGUCGUUAAAUGAUGUGCAGUCAGAUUGACAAGUAUUUGAAGUAACAUUAAUUUAUAAAUUAUCAAUUCUGAGAGAAAUUUUUGCUGAGCUUUGUGCAGGAUACUCUUAAAAAAUACGUGAACCAGAAUUUUAUAUUAUAAGUACAAUGUCAGAUGUACUCCAGACUUCACACAUAUGUUGAUGUUUAUACAUAUGUGGUGAUUAAUUUGUCAAGUGAAGAAAUUUUAUGAAUAAUGUUAGUGGGUGACAGAACAGAAGUACAAAGUCAAUUACAGAGGUCGACAACACUGAGUUUAGGA
rnacentral:lncRNA from 1 species